UACGUAGGGACCAAGCGUUGUUCGGAUUUACUGGGCGUAAAGGGCGCGUAGGCGGCAUGACAAGUCACUUGUGAAAUCUCCGGGCUUAACUCGGAACGGCCAAGUGAUACUGUCGCGCUAGAGUGCGGAAGGGGCAAUCAGAAUUCUUGGUGUAGCGGUGAAAUGCGUAGAUAUCGAGAGGAACACCUGCGGCGAAGGCGGCUUUCUGGACAGUUACCGACGCUGAGGCACGAAAGCUAGGGGAGCAAACAGG
rnacentral:rRNA from 1 species